rnacentral:ncRNA from 1 species
GCGGAUAAUAAUCCGUAGGGAUGUAACCCAAACGGGGUUGAACCGCAAA